rnacentral:rRNA from 1 species
CCUACGGGUGGCUGCAGUGAGGAAUAUUGGUCAAUGGGCGAGAGCCUGAACCAGCCAAGUCGCGUGAAGGAUGAAGGAUCUAUGGUUUGUAAACUUCUUUUAUAUGGGAAUAAAGUGAGGAACGUGUUCCUUUUUGUAUGUACCAUAUGAAUAAGCAUCGGCUAACUCCGUGCCAGCAGCCGCGGUAAUACGGAGGAUGCGAGCGUUAUCCGGAUUUAUUGGGUUUAAAGGGUGCGUAGGUGGUUAAUUAAGUCAGCGGUGAAAGUUUGUGGCUCAACCAUAAAAUUGCCGUUGAAACUGGUUGGCUUGAGUAUAUUUGAGGUAGGCGGAAUGCGUGGUGUAGCGGUGAAAUGCAUAGAUAUCACGCAGAACUCCGAUUGCGAAGGCAGCUUACUAAACUAUAACUGACACUGAAGCACGAAAGCGUGGGGAGCAAACAGGAUUAGAUACCCUAGUAGUC